rnacentral:rRNA from 1 species
AAUGAACGCUGGCGGCGUGCUUAACACAUGCAAGUCGAACGAGGCGGAGGGGGCAACCCCUCCAGUCGAGUGGCGGACGGGUGAGUAACACGUGGGUAACCUGCCCGGAAGUGGGAAUACCUCGGGAAACUCGAGCUAAUACCGCAUGACAUCUUCGGACGAAAGUCCUGACGAUCAAAGCGGGUCGCAAGAUCUCGCGCUACCGGAUGGGCCCGCGCCCGAUUAGCUAGUUGGCGAGGAAUGGCUCACCAAGGCUUCGAUCGGUAACCGGCCUGAGAGGGCGAUCGGUCACACCGGAACUGAGACACGGUCCGGACUCCUACGGGA